rnacentral:rRNA from 1 species
CACGUAGGGGGCAAGCGUUGUCCGGAUUUAUUGGGCGUAAAGAGCUCGUAGGUGGUUCGGUAAGUCAGGUGUGAAACCUCCAGGCUCAACCUGGAGACGCCACUUGAUACUGCUGUGACUGGAGUCCGGUAGGGGAGCGUGGAAUUCCGUGGUGUAGGCGGUGAAAAUGCGCAGAUAUCAGGAGGAACACCAGCGGCGAAGGCGGCGCUCUGGGCCGGUACUGACACUGAGGAGCGAAAGCGUGGGUAGCAAACAGG